rnacentral:rRNA from 1 species
UGGGGAAUAUUGCACAAUGGGCGCAAGCCUGAUGCAGCCAUGCCGCGUGUAUGAAGAAGGCCUUCGGGUUGUAAAGUACUUUCAGCGGGGAGGAAGGCGAUAAGGUUAAUAACCUUGUCGAUUGACGUUACCCGCAGAAGAAGCACCGGCUAACUCCGUGCCAGCAGCCGCGGUAAUACGGAGGGUGCAAGCGUUAAUCGGAAUUACUGGGCGUAAAGCGCACGCAGGUGGUCUGUCAAGUCGGAUGUGAAAUCCCCGGGCUCAACCUGGGAACUGCAUUCGAAACUGGCAGGCUAGAGUCUUGUAGAGGGGGGUAGAAUUCCAGGUGUAGCGGUGAAAUGCGUAGAGAUCUGGAGGAAUACCGGUGGCGAAGGCGGCCCCCUGGACAAAGACUGACGCUCAGGUGCGAAAGCGUGGGGAGCAAACA